UGGGCUCUGGCUCAGUGGAAGAGUAUUUGCCUAGCAUGCACCAGGUUCUGGGUUCAAUCCCCAGGACUACAA
rnacentral:tRNA from 1 species